rnacentral:lncRNA from 1 species
CAUCGUCGAGAUCCGAUAAAAUACUGCUUUUAUCAUCGCGACCAUGGCCACAAUACUAAAGACUACCACCAGCUUCACGAUGAGAUCAAGAGGUUCGUUAGGCAAGGAUGGCUGAAUCAUUUUGUUCGGAGAGCAGCCCCCCAAUGUCGAGCUCUGAGAGUUCAGCAGCCACCCCCUAUGCCUCAACAGCCUCUACUUCUGUCUCAGCCGUAGCAAGCGCCAGUGCGGCAAGAGCGACAAUAGGUCAAAAAACAGGUGGUGGAAGAAGAGCGAUCUAUCCAUGG